rnacentral:rRNA from 1 species
UACGGGGGGAGCAAGCGUUGUUCGGAUUUACUGGGCGUAAAGGGCGCGUAGGCGGCCUCCGCAAGUCAGUUGUGAAAUCUCCGGGCUUAACCCGGAAAGGUCAACUGAUACUGCGGGGCUAGAGUGCAGAAGGGGCAACCGGAAUUCUCGGUGUAGCGGUGAAAUGCGUAGAUAUCUGGAGGAACACCGGUGGCGAAGGCGGCAUCCUGGACCGGCAUUGACGCUGAGGCGCGAAAGCCAGGGGAGCAAACGGG